GUAUCACUGGCUCAGGAUGAACGCUAGCUACAGGCUUAACACAUGCAAGUCGAGGGGCAGCAUGGUCUUAGCUUGCUAAGGCUGAUGGCGACCGGCGCACGGGUGAGUAACACGUAUCCAACCUGCCGUCUACUCUUGGCCAGCCUUCUGAAAGGAAGAUUAAUCCAGGAUGGGAUCAUGAGUUCACAUGUCCGCAUGAUUAAAGGUAUUUUCCGGUAGACGAUGGGGA
rnacentral:rRNA from 1 species